UACGGAGGGGGCGAGCGUUAUUCGGAAUUACUGGGCGUAAAGCGUGCGCAGGCGGUUUGCUAAGACAGGUGUGAAAUCCCCGGGCUUAACCUGGGAACUGCGCUUGUAACUGGCAAGCUAGAGUGUGGCAGAGGGGGGUGGAAUUCCAGGUGUAGCAGUGAAAUGCGUAGAGAUGUGGAGGAACACCGAUGGCGAAGGCAGCCCCCUGGGUCAAGAUUGACGCUCAUGCACGAAAGCGUGGGGAGCAAACAGG
rnacentral:rRNA from 1 species